UUCCCUUGGGGGUCCUGCGGAGGGAUCAUUACACAACAAAAAUAUGAGGGUGUGGUUUGCUGGCAACAGCGUCCGCCCCAAGUAUUUUUCACCCAUGUCUUUUGCGCACUUUUUGUUUCCUGGGCGAGUUCGCUCGCCACCAGGACCCAACCAUAAACCUUUUUUUAUGCAGUUGCAAUCAGCGUCAGUAUAAUAAUUCAAUUUAUUAAAACUUUCAACAACGGAUCUCUUGGUUCUGGCAUCGAUGAAGAACGCAGCGAAAUGCGAUACGUAGUGUGAAUUGCAGAAUUCAGUGAAUCAUCGAAUCUUUGAACGCACAUUGCGCCCUUUGGUAUUCCAAAGGGCAUGCCUGUUCGAGCGUCAUUUGUACCCUCAAGCUUUGCUUGGUGUUGGGCGUCUUUUUGUCUCUCCCCUUGUUGGGGGAGACUCGCCUUAAAACGAUUGGCAGCCGACCUACUGGUUUUCGGAGCGCAGCACAAAUUUGCGCCUUCCAAUCCACGGGGCGGCAUCCAGCAAGCCUUUGUUUUCUAUAACAAAUCCACAUUUUGACCUCGGAUCAGGUAGGGAUACCCGCUGAACUUAAGCAUAUCAAAAU
rnacentral:rRNA from 1 species